ACAGAUGUAUUUAGUAAUAGAAUGACAAUGAAGUCUUAGCCAGAUGGUGGAAAAUUCAGAAGAGUCAAGGUCGUGGGCACGAGAGCGAGUGAUGUCGAUCGUUGCGCACAUAGACGCAACAUCCAGCUUUGGAUUGAAAUGUAGGAUAGAGAUAGUAGGAGGGAACAGAGUAGAGGUUGCUGUCAGUAGCCUCAGAAACCUGUGUUUCGGUGAGGAAGAGAAGGUGAGGUUUAGAGGAGGAGAGAUGGUGUUCCACAGAAUGAAAAUUAGAACGAAGACCGCGAAUGUUGCAGAAAUUGAUAAAAAAAGAGGUUCGAGGAGUUAUCAAGACACCUUCCAAGUCGGCAGCCGCAAGGGGAGUCCUCCCUGGGGGAAUGUGUGUUCCCCCCCCCCCCAGGCGAGGACUUCGAGGCAGUGUUAUUGUGCGCCAUUUUGAAUUUUGGGAAAAGGUUCCUCCAGUGUUUCUCCUGGCGGUGGCGGUUCUGGCCGGGGAGGCGCACCGAGGGACGGCAGCACCUUCAGAAGCUUCCUCACAAACCCGAGUGGCAUCAAGUGACGGAAUUCAAAGAGAAAUUAGCUUUGAAAAAAUGACAAACGUAAUAAUUUCGCUCUUGCCUAAAAUUACUUCACUCAUCGUCAAGCUAACGGAAGGACUGGAUGAGGGGCAAUGGAAACAGGUGGAGGUGAUGGGAAAAUUCCUGAUACCAAUCGUCCGUGCAAUAGUGGAGACGGAGGCCAGCGAGGGCGGCAUCACACCGAAGGAGGAGGCCUUGCUCAACGAUCUGGAGACUUACCUCGGUGCAGUGCUCUCACUACUGUGGGAGAGAGUAAAAGCGUCACGAGCCAUUCACAAGACAUCUGUAGGUGAACCAAUACCAGACUACACUGACACCCUCGACGACACCGAACCUAACCCAAACCACGAACACGACUUCAACAUUCCAGUGAGAAAGGACGAAACUCCAAGCAAUAAUUCAAAUCAACGACGCUCUGAGGAUUCUGUAUCUCUCUCGCCGGUCGUUUUAAAGAGGAAAAGUAAGGAUUCUUCGCCAUCAAGUGAACGGAGAGAUGAGAGAAAAGAUUUAGGGCGAAAGUUCUUCUCGUUACCCGCGUGAAACUUUAUGGUUUAGCAACACAUCAAAAGUAUACACACUCGUUUUAAGUACACAAAUGUAUGUAAACAAAAAAUAAAACUACUUCGCCUU